UACGUAGGUGGCAAGCGUUGUCCGGAAUUAUUGGGCGUAAAGGGCUCGCAGGCGGUUUUCUAAGUCUGAUGUGAAAUCUUGCGGCUUAACCGUAAGCGGUCAUUGGAAACUGGAGAACUUGAGUACAGAAGAGGAGAGUGGAAUUCCACGUGUAGCGGUGAAAUGCGUAGAGAUGUGGAGGAACACCAGUGGCGAAGGCGACUCUCUGGUCUGUAACUGACGCUGAGGAGCGAAGGCCAGGGGAGCAAACGGG
rnacentral:rRNA from 1 species